rnacentral:rRNA from 1 species
GAUGAACGCUGACAGAAUGCUUAACACAUGCAAGUCGAUGGGGAAGUGGUGCUUGCACCAUGGUAACCAUGGCGGACGGGUGAGUAACGCGUAAGGAACUUGCCUGCGGGACUGGGAUAACAGCAGGAAACUGCUGAUAAUACCGGAUAAGGUCAUUAAGCUGCAUAGCUUAGUGAUGAAAGGAGACGCCUGCGGAGAGCCUUGCGUCCUAUUAGCUAGUUGGAGGGGUAACGGCCCACCAAGGCGAAGGUAGGUAGCCGGCCUGAGAGGGUGGACGGCCACAGGGGGAAUGGGAUACGGCCCUGACUCCUACGGGAAGCAGGAGUGGGGAAUAUUGGACGAUGGGGGCAACCCUGAUCCAGCAAUUCUGUGUGCACGAAGACGGUUUUCGGAUUGUAAAGUGCUUUCAGCAGGGAAGAGGGAAGUGACGGUACCUGCAGAAGAAGCGACGGCUAAAUACGUG